rnacentral:rRNA from 1 species
CAAUAGCGUAUAUUAAAGUUGUUGCAGUUAAAAAGCUCGUAGUUGGAUUUCUGGGAGGGUGCCAAUGUCCGCCAACGUGCGUGUGCAGCGGCGCCCUUCCAUCCUUCUGUUAACGCCUCUUGGCAUUCAUUUGCUGGUAGCGGGCUCAGAUAUUUUACCUUGAGAAAAUUAGAGUGUUUCAGGCAGGCUUGGCCGGAAUACAUUAGCAUGGAAUAAUGGAAUAGGACUAUGGUCUCUUUGUUGGUUUGAGGGACUGCAGUAAUGAUUAAUAGGGAUAGUUGGGGGCGAUUAGUAUUCAAACGACAGAGGUGAAAUUACUUGGACCGUUUGAAGACAAACUACU